UUCCCCGUAGGGCUCUCAGGUCGUGAGCUGGCAUGUUGGGGUACACUGUAUGAAGUUGUGUCUCUGUCCUUCCUCACCUACCUAAGGAAGUCUCUGAUUGGCUUUAAUAAAAAUCAUGGCCAAUCAGUUUGACAGGAACUAGAAGGCAGGACUUCCUGGGAGGGAGAAAGGAAUUCUGGGAAGAAGAAACAGGAAGCACUUUUGCCAGGAGACAUGAAAAGAAUGUGACUAUGGGCCUGGAAGGUUUAGCUAGCCACGUGGCUGGAUGGAACUAGGUAGUCAGGUUAACCUAGAUGAGCUAGUUCAGAGUCUGCCUAGCUAAGGCCUAAGGCUUUGAAAUAUUAAAAAGUGUGGUUAUUUGGUGAAUUAGCUGGUUAAGGAAUAAUUGCCACUGUGUUGAUUUCUAACAUUAAUUAAUAAAUAACAGAACACUAAUAAUCAUUUUACACUGGCAGACUUCGGGAGCGCUGUGGUAUGAAUGUCUGUGUCCUCUUAAACUUUGUGUCCUGACCCUAAACAACAGGGCAGUAAGAUUAAAGAUGAGGCCUUUAAGAGGGCUCUCAUGAAUGAGCUAACUGUUCCUUAGAAAAGGGAAGAGUGAGCAUGUGUCGGCCUUUCUGCAAUGUGAGGACAUGCCUACACGUUACCUAUAAAGGAAGAGUGUCACCAGACAUUGGAUACUCAGUCUUGGACUUCCAGUAAGUUUCCAUUGUUUAUAAGCCACCCUGUUUAUGGUGUUUUGGCAGCAGCCUGGAGGGAGGCACCGAGUUGGUGAGUUUAAUGGUGCAGCCACUAGCUACCAAGUAGGGGGUGGGGAGGGAGACUGAGCAAGACACCUGGGAAACAGCAAUGGCCUUCAGUCACAGACACAGCUGACAAAACAGCAGGGAGGAUCUCCAACGGAAAAGCUGGCACACUGCAAGGACAGGCUGACCACUCACGGAGAGCUUGGCACAGGCCAACUCAAACUGUGUUGUUUAGGAAUGUAUAAGUGGCAACACCAGACAACUGCCAAGAGGAGAACUGUAACCAGAGCUGGGGAGAAGACCUGAGUCCUCACUCCCUCGAUUGGAGAACCUGUUGACUGACUGAGCAGGCUUGGUCAUGGAUUGAUCCAUUGAUAGGUUCAGAGUGAAACAGGUCCUAUAAAGGACCUCCGUGAGACCUCACAGAAGAAAGUAGGUUGACAAGGGAACGUCUUAGAAGAGGAAUACCUUGACUGUGGCCCCUUCUUAUUCCCAUGAGAUCCCCCUCCCUCUUCUUUUACAGGGGACACCUGGUAACAGACAAUAGGAGCCAUUUACCAAAAAUAAGCG